rnacentral:rRNA from 1 species
AUUGAACGCUGGCGGCAGGCCUAACACAUGCAAGUCGAACGAGUGGCGGACGGGUGAGUAAUGUCUGGGAAACUGCCCGAUGGAGGGGUAUAACUACUGGAACCGGUAGCUAAUACCGCAUACCAUCGGAUGUUCCCAGAGGGGAUUAGCUAGUCGGUGGGGUAACGGCUCACCUAGGCGACGAUCCCUAGCUGGUCUGAGAGGAUGACCAGCCACACGGGAACGGAGACACGGUCCAGACACCUACGGGAGGCAGCAGUGGGGAAUAUUGCACAAUGGGCGCAAGCCGGAUGCAGCCAUGCCGGGUGUAUGAAGAAGGCCUUCGGGUGGUAAAGUACUUUCAGCGAGGAGGAGUUACUCGCAGAAGAAGCACCGGCUAACUCCGUGCCAGCAGACGCGGUAAUAC